rnacentral:rRNA from 1 species
UAGAGUUUGAUCCUGGCUCAGAUUGAACGCUGGCGGCAGGCCUAACACAUGCAAGUCGAGCGGUAGCAGGAAGUGCUUGCACUUCGCUGACGAGCGGCGGACGGGUGCGUAACACGUAGGAAUCUGCCCGGUAGUGGGGGAUAGCCCGGAGAAAUUCGGAUUAAUACCGCAUACGCCCUAAGGGGGAAAGCAGGAGAUCGGUUCGCCGACCUUGCGCUAUCGGAUGAGCCUGCGUCGGAUUAGCUUGUUGGUGGGGUAAAGGCCAACCAAGGCAACGAUCCGUAGCUGGUCUGAGAGGAUGAUCAGCCACACUGGGACUGAGACACGGCCCAGACUCCUACGGGAGGCAGCAGUGGGGAAUAUUGCACAAUGGGCGAAAGCCUGAUGCGGCCAUGCCGCGUGUGUGAAGAAGGCCCUAGGGUUGUAAAGCACUUUCAGUGGGGAGGAAAGGUUGAAGGUUAAUACCCUUCAGCUGUGACGUUACCCACAGAAGAAGCACCGGCUAACUCCGUGCCAGCAGCCGCGGUAAUACGGAGGGUGCGAGCGUUAAUCGGAAUUACUGGGCGUAAAGCGUGCGUAGGCGGCUUUUUUAAGUUGGAUGUGAAAGCCCCGGGCUCAACCUGGGAACUGCAUCCAAAAACUGGAAGGCUUUGAGUGCGAGAGAGGAGUGUGGAAUUUCCUGUGUAGCGGUGAAAUGCGUAGAUAUAGGAAGGAACACCAGUGGCGAAGGCGACACUCUGGCUUGACA